rnacentral:rRNA from 1 species
AACGAACGCUGGCGGCAUGCCUAACACAUGCAAGUCGAACGAGACCUUCGGGUCUAGUGGCGCACGGGUGCGUAACGCGUGGGAACCUGCCUUUAGGUUCGGAAUAACUCUCCGAAAGGGGUGCUAAUACCGAAUAAUGUCUUCGGACCAAAGAUUUAUCGCCUUUAGAUGGGCCCGCGUUGGAUUAGCUAGUUGGUGGGGUAAAGGACCGUACCAAGGCGACGAUCCAUAGCUGGUCUUAGAGGAUGAUCAGCCACACU